rnacentral:misc_RNA from 1 species
UGUGGGAGCUGGCUUGCCUGCGAUAGCGGUGUGUCAGGUAAUGAAGCCAUGUCUGAUGUACCGCUAUCGCAGGCAAGCCAGCUCCCACA